GGACGAACGCUGGCGGCGUGCUUAACACAUGCAAGUCGAACGGUGAAGCGCCUUCCUUUUUGGUGGGUGUGGAUGAGUGGCGAACGGGUGAGUAACACGUGAGUAACCUGCCCCCUUCUUCUGGAUAACCGCAUGAAAGUGUGGCUAAUACGGGAUAUUCUGGGUCUGUCGCAUGAUGGGUCUGGGAAAGAUAUUGUUUCGGUGGGGGAUGGGCUCGCGGCCUAUCAGCUUGUUGGUGGGGUGAUGGCCUACCAAGGCGGUGACGGGUAGCCGGCCGGAGAGGGUGGACGGUCACACUGGGACGGAGACACGGCCCAGACUCCUACGGGAGGCAGCAGUGGGGAAUAUUGCACAAUGGGCGCAAGCCUGAUGCAGCGACGCCGCGUGAGGGAUGGAGGCCUUCGGGUUGUGAACCUCUUUCGCCAGUGAAGCAGGCCUGCCUCGUUUGUGGGUGGGUUGACGGUAGCUGGAUAAGAAGCGCCGGCUAACUACGUG
rnacentral:rRNA from 1 species